UACGGAGGAUCCAAGCGUUAUCCGGAUUCAUUGGGUUUAAAGGGUGCGUAGGCGGCUUAUUAAGUCAGCGGUGAAAUCCUGGGGCUUAACCCCAGAACUGCCAUUGAUACUGAUGAGCUUGAGUACACUUGAAGUGGGCGGAAUGUGUCGUGUAGCGGUGAAAUGCUUAGAUAUGACACAGAACACCAAUUGCGAAGGCAGCUCACUAAAUUGUCACUGACGCUGAGGCACGAAAGCGUGGGGAUCAAACAGG
rnacentral:rRNA from 1 species